CGCACAUUGCGCCCUUUGGUAUUCCUUAGGGCAUGCCUGUUCGAGCGUCAUUUAAACCCUCAAGCUCUGCUUGGUGUUGGGUGUCUGUCUUGCCUCUGGCAUGGACUCGCCUUGAAAACAUUGGCGGUUGUGUAUCGACUGGAAGCGCAGCAAAAGCGUCCUUUCUAGCCCGGUGCCCUCCCUCCAGGAAGCCAACCUCAAUCAUCUUGACCUCGGAUCAGGUAGGGAUACCCGCUGAACUUAA
rnacentral:misc_RNA from 1 species